AUGUGUGGGUAUGGAGGUCAGGCAAGGCCAUCUCUAGGGGAUGUUUUGCUAGCUGUACGGCUUGAGAUUCCUUCCUGUUCUGAGGGAUAUUUCUGUGAAGGCGUGUCUGUCACCUGUCCACCUGCACACGAAUUCUCCAAGCCGUCCUUCACUUCCUACCCACCCGCCCACUCACCUGUGCAUCCGUCCUCCUGGCCCAGCCCUUGUACAUCCGCCCACUGCCCACCACCCAACUCACCCCCACUCUUCUUCUCAUGGCUCUUCAUGCACCCUUCAGCCAUGCUUCAUCUGCCAUCUACCCACCAUCCUCCCACCUACCCAUCCAUCCAUCCAUCCAUCCAUCCACCAAUCCUUCAACACCCACCCACCAUCCAUCCUCCAACACCUACCCACCAUCCACUCACCAUCCAUCUACUCAUCCAUCCUCCCACCCAUCCAUCCACCCAUCCCUCCACUCAUCCAUCCACCCAUCCAUCCACCACCCAUCCAUCCAUCCAUCCAUCCAACAUCCACCCACCAUCCAACACCUACCCACCUAUCCAUCCAUCCACCCACCAUCCACCCACCUACUUAUCCAUCCAACACCUACCCAUCCAUCCACCAUCCAUCCAUCCAUCCUCCAAUAUCCACAUACCAUCCACUUACCCAUCCAUCCAUCCAUCUCCCCAACAUCUUCCCACCUACCCAUCCAUCCAUUCAACAUCCACCCAUCAUCCAUCCAGCAUCCACCCACCAUCCAACACCUACCCCCCCAUCCAUCCAUCCAUCCAUCCAUCUAUCCAAUAUCCACCCACCCAUCCAUUCAACAUCCACCCACCAUCCACCCAUCCAUCCACCUACCCACUCACCCACACAUCCAACAACCACUCACCCAUCUACCCACCCAUGCACCCUUCAUCCACCAUCCACAGACCCAUCUACUUACCAUCCACCCACCCAUUCAUCCACCCCACCUCCUAUCCAUCCAUCCAUCCCCUCCUCCAACUCCCAACGCAUCCAUCCACUGCCCAUCCGUUCAUUCACCCCUCCACCAACCACAGUACCCAUUCACUCACCACCCACCUCCUCCUUCUUUUUACCCGUCUACAAGGCUCAAUCACACCCAGAGCAGAGCGUAACAAGACACCCAAGAGAGGAGUCCACAGGUUGCCUGUGCGGGAGGGAAUCCAUUGGCUCCAGCGAGGGGGAGAUGCCCUCACCUAG
rnacentral:lncRNA from 1 species